GACGAACGCUGGCGGCGUGCUUAACACAUGCAAGUCGAACGGUGAAGCGCCUUCCUUUUUGGUGGGUGUGGAUGAGUGGCGAACGGGUGAGUAACACGUGAGUAACCUGCCCCCUUCUUCUGGAUAACCGCAUGAAAGUGUGGCUAAUACGGGAUAUUCUGGGUCUGUCGCAUGAUGGGUCUGGGAAAGAUAUUGUUUCGGUGGGGGAUGGGCUCGCGGCCUAUCAGCUUGUUGGUGGGGUGAUGGCCUACCAAGGCGGUGACGGGUAGCCGGCCUGAGAGGGUGGACGGUCACACUGGGACUGAGACACGGCCCAGACUCCUACGGGAGGCAGCAGUGGGGAAUAUUGCACAAUGGGCGCAAGCCUGAUGCAGCAACGCCGCGUGAGGGAUGGAGGCCUGCGGGUUGUGAACCUCUUUCGCCAGUGAAGCAGGCCUGCCUCGUUUGUGGGUGGGUUGACGGUAGCUGGAUAAGAAGCGCCGGCUAACUACGUG
rnacentral:rRNA from 1 species